CUACGGGCGGCACCAGUGGGGAAUUUUGCGCAAUGGGCGAAAGCCUGACGCAGCAAUACCGCGUGAGUGAAGAAGGCCUUUGGGUCGUAAAGCUCUUUUCUGGGGGAAGAUAGUGACGGUACCCCAGGAAUAAGCACCGGCUAACUCCGUGCCAGCAGCCGCGGUAAUACGGAGGGUGCAAGCGUUGUUCGGAUUUACUGGGCGUAAAGGGCACGUAGGCGGCACAGCAAGUUAAGGGUGAAAUCCCGGGGCUCAACUCCGGAACUGCUCUUAAAACUGCUGAGCUAGAGAUAGUCAGAGGCGGGUGGAAUUCCUGGUGUAGAGGUGAAAUUCGUAGAUAUCAGGAGGAACACCGGUGGCGAAGGCGGCCCGCUGGGGCUAUUCUGACGCUAAGGUGCGAAAGCGUGGGGAGCGAACGGGAUUAGAUACCCGAGAGUC
rnacentral:rRNA from 1 species